rnacentral:lncRNA from 1 species
CCCCACAUUUAAUAAUAUUUUUGUUCUAAAUAUAUUACUCAAUGGCAUAAACAUUAUGAAGUAAAACUGGUUGGAACACAUGUUCAGAAUAAAAAGGGCUCCAUGGAGUUGUGUAUAACUGGCAAAAUGAAAGAACAAAAUUAUACAUUAAAACCUGAAUACUGGGACAAAACAAAUGGCCCGGAAUUUCUACUUUUAACUACACAAUCAAGAAAAAUGGUCAUCAGAUAGUUGAUACUAGUCAAAUCUUAGUACAAUUAUGACUAAAAAGGCUUAAAAAUGAUUCAACCUCCUUAAAACCUUUAAAUUUGGUUUUUAGUUACUAAAAAAGAUUGUCAACAGGAAGAACACUUCUACAAUUGUAGAAGAUAACUUCUGUAUUUUGCAUUGUUAAUUAUUUAUACCUUUGUGUGAUCUGCGAUGGGCCAGGGGACAAAAGAGGGUUGGAAGUAACCAACGAAAAUGGAGACCAGUAACAACAAAAAGUCAGGACCGAGAGGCUAGACUCCAGAAACUAUUUUACUGUAGUGGCUACUCAUAGGGUUAGACACCACUCCAAUCCUACCAGAUUUAAUGUCAAUAAUUUAAAAUGAAGAAAGCCUAAGAGUCAGAUUUUCCAUAGUUCACUUCAGAAAGAGCUUCUUUUACACCUUCAAACAAUUUGUAUAAUAAAAAAUUCCUCCCAGCUUUCAUUUAUAAAACAUACUGUGAGCUUCACAAACAGUAGUACUGGGGCUCAUCCACUAGCUCUGCAACUCCAGAUAAAUCUGUCCAAGCUUCAGUUUAAUAUGUAGGAUACCAGCUUACCUAAAGGGACAGUUGUGUAGACUGAAUAACAUAUAUAUAACAUACAACACAGCAAGUCCUUAAGAAAUGUUAAUUUUCUUCUUUGUGCUACUUAUUUCUCUAGAAGAUACUACUGAUAAUUUACUGAUUGUUUUAAUAUAAUUUUAUAUCAAUUAGGCAAAACCUAUCCUUUCCAAAAUCAAAUAGUAUAAUGGAAACUAAAG